GAUGAACGCUGGCGGCGUGCCUAAUACAUGCAAGUCGAGCGAACAGAUGAGGAGCUUGCUCCUCUGACGUUAGCGGCGGACGGGUGAGUAACACGUGGAUAACCUACCUAUAAGACUGGGAUCAUUUCGGGAAACCGGAGCUAAUACCGGAUAAUAUAUUGAACCGCAUGGUUCAAUAGUGAAAGACGGUUUUGCUGUCACUUAUAGAUGGAUCCGCGCCGCAUUAGCUAGUUGGUAAGGUAACGGCUUACCAAGGCAACGAUGCGUAUCCGACCUGAGAGCGUGAUCGCCCACACUGGAACUGAGACACGGUCCAGACUCCUACGGGAGGCAGCAGUAGGGAAUCUUCCGCAAUGGUCGAAAGCCUGACGGAGCAACGCCGCGUGAGUCAUGAAGGUCUUCGGAUCGUAAAACUCUGUUAUUAGGGAAGAACAAAUGUGUAAGUAACUAUGCACGUCUUGACGGUACCUAAUCAGAAAGCCACGGCUAACUACGUG
rnacentral:rRNA from 1 species